GGGGCUCUUCCGUACGAACGUGGCGCGGGGGCUGCCUGGAGCCAUGGAGCUGAUCCCGCCGGUGGACCUGGGCACCUGGAGGGCCUCUCCAGGAGAAGUGACUCAGGCUGUGAAGGUGGCCAUCGAUGCGGGCUACCGACGCUUCGACUGCGUACUUAUACCAGAACGAGAGUGACAUAGGAGAGGGAUCCAGUGCCAGCUCCUCAAGGGCGUUGUGAGACAAGAGGACCUGCUCGUUGUCAGCAAGCCAGGGCUUCUCUCCUCCUGGAAACGUCAUCGUGCCUGUGGAUCGCAGUGGCAUGGUUGUACCCAGCGACACAGACGUCCUGGACACGGAGAAAAUACAGAGUAUAAAGGAGAAAAUUUCAAAGUCCAUGUUGCCAUCGUCCAGUGCUGACUGCUAUUAGUACUUUGUACUUCCUUUUAGUGCUCUCUUAAGCGUUUCAGAAACAUAAUGUUGACAACACGAUAAGGUUCACGUAGAGGUGGCCGGAGAAGCCCAGGGACCAGAUGGAAAAUGGUACGGGCUUGAAAUGCAGUGAAGGUCCGGAGAAGCGGGGGAGCGGUGGAUUUGAGGCUGUGGACGUUAACCGCGGGCUGGAGGGGAGCGGGAGCGGGCAGCAGGAGCCCCUGAGGAUGUGGGCUGUGGCGCCGCUGAGCCAGGUGCAGGUCUUACCGGCGUGGCGGGCAGCAUCGCGCGUGCGAGGCCCGGGAGCCCGGCAAGCUCACACCGGAAGUCCCGCAGCCUUGGAGCUGAGGUCUGAAGCCCCUGGAGCGAGAACAGUGGGGGAAGCCGCCAGGGCCCGGAGGCGGCCGGACAGCACCACGCAGCCCGCGGGCCGCUGGGGCAGGGACGGGCCUGCUUCAGGAGGAAGGUCUUUCUACCUGAGAGUCCGUCCUCACAAAGCCCCCGGGGGAGGCCCGUCUCCUCUUUCCGACAGAAGAGAAUUAGGUCGCGAGGCUGCGCAGCCGGGCUACACCAGAGAGCUUCAGCCUGCGCUCUCCCGGGCACUUUCUGCCGGACUGGAAUCGCCGUGCUGUGCAGAGCUGCGUGUCACCGCAGACCUCAGGGCCUUUGAGAUGGAUUCAGGGAAGAAUCAUGUUUGGUGAGCCGUACUUUUCCUUGUGGUAAAGUCUUGAGACUUGACGAUAGUAUUUGCUCUGAGGAGCUGAAGAUAGUUGCCACUGUUUACGGCAAUUGUGUGCUGCGCUCUCCUACACUAAAUGAGCCCUGAUCGUUCCUCCUAGAGGAGCUCUGGUCACAGCAUUUCCAUAACUCAUCAGCACCUAGCCUUGUUCUAUGUAUGUUUCUGUUUAAAAACAACUUUUGAAACAUACGUUACGGAUUCAUUGGCAUCGAACUCAGCCAACAUAAAAUUCAUGCCUGAAUAAAACUUUCCCAACAUUUAUUUUUUCCGGAAAGCCCAUCAUAACCUAUAGGGCUUCGCCACUCUAAACAGCACUCUAGCCCUGGUUGGCUGUGUUUUAAACUGAAAUCAACAACAGGAACAAGAAAUAUGUAAAAUAUGGCACUAAAUAUCAUAUAAAAUGCAUUUAUUUAUGCCAUAAGCAUCCAGAGACUCAAAUUGUAACUGCUCUAUGCAGGCUCUUGAAUAAUUAGGAAGGCACUCAAAUAGUGAUUUCGAGGUUAAAAAUAAACCUUUAUGAGUUGUCAAAUUUGCCUUUCUUCGAUCCCCAGACUGUGAAGUAUCAGUUAAAUCCACCGCCAGGUGGCGCUGGAGGAAGCGGUAAGGCGCGCUCCGGUUGCUGUCCGCCAGAAGGUGGCAGGCAGCCUCUGCUCUGGUUUACCGCAUCUUCUGGUGCCUUGGAGGGCCUCAUGGCAUUCCUGUGGGCUCAUGGUGGUGCCCCGGGGUAACUGGGUGCAAACUUUGGGAAGUGGAUUUAGAAAUUAUUUAUUGCUUUCAAACUUGGAGGAAUGAUGAAAUUAGAAUCUUGGCACAUGCUCUCCUUUUUUGCUGCCUCCCUUGUCUCCUGUUUAAUAAGCACAGUGAGCUUUACAUGUCCAGUCGCUGCUUCCAGUCUCAGCUCUGCUCCUCAAUACGCACUCUUACAGCCUCCCUUCUCUUAAUGGGUGGGAAUUCCUUUUAAUGUGCUUCGGGAGAAAGUGACAUCUUUUUCUCUCUUUAAAAGGAGACCUUUUUAAAUGUAGUUUAGAUCAUUUUUAGUAAAAGGCAUAUUUUUAAAAGUUGGGAGACUCCUGCAGACCCUUCGGUGACGUCCUAUCAGAGUAACAGCUGGGCACAGCUGCCUCAGGCUGCAUGACCUGAGAACUACCCCUCUGUCUAAUUCUCUCUUAGCGCUUUCCCUGCCCAGCCCCACCCCUAAGCAACCCAGCUGUGACUGCUGCCCUACUCUGGACUCUUAGUUGGGCUCCUUGAACGUGAGGCUAGGGCCCUGACCUGUACGGUGGCGGAUUUCUGGGAUGUAAGUCGUCUCUCUCACCGUGACUGAUUCCAGCCACCAACGUGAUGCUGAAUGCAGAGCUAAGAAAAUCCACCCACAAAUUAGCAACAUGAGAAGGCUGCAGCUACUAUGGGAAGUGCACGUAUGCUGUCCAACCCUGUACAUUUCCUUACCUUCCUUAUUUUCUUCAUACCUAUUAAUUAUGUACUAUUUGCCUGUUUAUUCUCAUCAUUUAUAUCCCCAGCUAAUUGAAAAUAAAAUUUAUAAGGGAGAGCCUUACCUGUUUUGUUUAGUACUAUAUCCCUGGCCUUCAAACCAGUACCUGGCACAGAGAAAGUACUAAAUAUUGGAAGAAUUGAGUAAAUACACUUAAAUAAUCGCAAAGCAAUACCAAUUCCCAAUUUAAAAUUCCAAUAAAUUCCUGAUAGAUUCUGUUAGGGUCUUGAUGUAAAAUGUCCCUCAGAAGUUUCUCUGAAAGUGCUUGACCAUGAGCAUAGCACUCAUGAGUUGGCUAAUUCACUGCUGAGUUCGUAGGUGAGUGUCUUGUGCGUGGUCGGCCCCAGCUGGAGAGGCUGAAAAGUAUCUAUUACUAGAUUUAGUUAUAAAGAUGAGCACAACUUGGCUUGCCCUUAAAGAUCUCCAGUUCAAAUGAGACAAAUGUAGAGGCAGUUAUGAAACUGUAAUACAUGGUGUGAUAUACUGAAGUGGGUUGCAGUACAUGUUCAUUUUGCAUAACAAAAUUGAUCCUGUAAUGUUGAAUGUUUUCAUAGGACCAAAUUUUAUUUAUCCAUACAUUGAGGUAAGUAAACUGCCCACACCUAGUUUUGCAGCAUGGAAUUAUGUAACUUUCACCACACUUUUCGUCACUCUCCAUCCUGGUGUAAUGUCUUUAGUAGAGCUACGGCUGGAGAAGCUGACAGUCAGGACUCCUGGUCUAAUUUCCAGGACCCAAGCCAUUUUCCUCUACAUGCUGAUGCCAGACUAUAAUCCCUUCCUCUACCAGCUGGUUUCUGGUACUUGGAAAACAUCUAGAACAAGGAAAAUAGUGAUUUGGUGUGUAUUUCCACCAUAUGUAUUCCUACCAUAUAAAAUUCCAUCCAUUGCCAAUACUGUUUUUCUCUAUAUUAACUGAAAGUAAUUUUAUACUUUCUGUACAUUAUAUACAGUACAAAGUAUUUUAAGUCAACAUUCUUCACAGAAAAGUAGGACUAAUCCUUGUUCCCUUAUAGAUCAAGAAACCAAGGCAUAAAGAGGUUAAAUAAAUCGCCAGCAAAUAUGCAGCUAUUAAGUGAUACAGGCAGACUGACCCAGGCACUCUGGCAGCAGAGGCUGAGCUCUUAGUCACUACCUGCCUGUCGCAUCCCAAUUCCACAUAACACUAGCAGAAAACAUAAAUUUCUCAGUAAUGUCAAAGAAUAUUUGGGUGAUAAAAUCAAAAGAGCUCAUUAAACCUGAAAAAUUCCAAUCCAUAAGUGAUCAGUGUGGUGACAAAGAGCUAAAAUUCUCAGUGCCCAGAAUUCUUUGACAGCACGCUUCUGCCCAGCACACACUGGACACAGCCCUGCAGUUACAGCACUGCAAACAGCACAAGAUAAAGGCAAACACAAAACUAUCCUUUCUUCCUCUGAGCUGAUAUCUUCGCCCAAAAAAGGUUAAGACAUACAGAUGCAUUUAUCCAAAUCCAAAGAGCCUUUGGUUUUUUGUUUAGUUUUUGAGGCCUAAGCGAGAGGCCUUUACAAUUUGCAACUUUGAUGUACAGCUUUGGUUAUGAUACAGGUUUUCCUAAAAGAUGAACAACAACAAAAAGACUGACCUAGAAAAUGUGUUUCUGCACCUGCCAAUUCAGGCCAUUUCCCGAUCCUCAUUCCUUAUAGAAACCUCCAAUCUCUCCUUCGGCUUUGGGAUUCCUCCCAAGGAGCUUGCCCACUGUGCCUCCAUGCUUGGCCUUCACUUUCGUGGGUUAGAGAUCUGCCCUGUUUCGAAGACACCUCAGAAGAGGCAUGCAUCUUGUGUGGCCCCCUGGGAUGGCAGUCAGUCACCCUCUUUAAGGAGUGUCUUUUGGGUAGGCAUAGCACCUCCUUAGGGUCUACAUGGAUUUUGCAUCUCCUGUUCUCUCUGACUCACCCCUGCCUAUAUUCUUAUGAACUGGCCUAGAUUCGAUCCUGAAAAACAAACAUCUCUUUUCCUGUACAAUUCCGGCUGGCUUCAGUAUGAGCAUUUAUCAUUUAAUGGAACUUUAAAUUAUAAUGCUGUACUGUAAUUGAACUUCUGUCCCAGUCAGGACAGAAGUUCUAAUCAUCCCAGCCUGUUUUUCUCCGAGUUCGGACAGUGAUGUUGUUUACAAUCCCCCUCUCGGCCCCCUCAGGCCCCUGUUCAGCCUGUGUCUUCCACCAGACAGCACUCCUCCGGUCUCCAGCUCCACACUCUGAUGCCCUUUCCUCCUUCUGACUCUUGCUAGUGUAACUCUAUACUGCUAAAAUGGCAGAAAGGAUUAUGAGAGAUCUCUGUUAUGAUGCACCAAAAGCAAUAAUAUAAAGUGCUGUGAUCCUGAAGGAGAACCCUGAGUAGUGUAAGAGAAAAAAAUUAUAAUACAACAUGGCUAAUACUUCUGAAGGUACACUCUGGUUUAAUGUAAUUAUCCUGCUUGUCCUGCCUGUGAAUCCGUGUUUACAAUAACUGCUCUCGGGCACCUCUGUGAUGGGAGGCUUCUCUGCACCCCCAGGCCCCCAGCCCCCAACUUGAGGGAAAAUAUCAUUGUUACUAAACUGUGAUUUAAGGGAAAAGAUCCAUGUAAAACCUCAGUGGCUGUGGCUCCCCCUUCGUGGCAUCAACAGGAAACACCAAGCUCCAAGCUCCAAGCUCUAAGCCCUUACCAAGUGAGUACAGGAAAGUGAACUGGGAUAAAACAAAGUGCCAAUACCAAGCGAAAACACUGCCAAAAAGAUAGACAAAGAAGGAGCCUGAGCUCAAGGGAGAGCCUCAACCCAAGGCUAAGUGUGAGGUAAAAAGUGACUGGGGCUACACCCAGCCUGCCCUGGCUCCCCGGAGAUGGGAGGAGAAGGCCGACUGUUGUCUGGACGUGCCCAAGGAGAAGACACCUUCGUGAUGGCACAUGAGUGGCAUGAGGCCGUCAGGGAGCGCCCUGACUGGCCGCGACAUUCACUCUUAAAUUCUGUGGCUGAAGGGAAUGUUUUCACUUGGUCAAUGCGCCUAAAACAUUUCUUGUAAACAGCUUUGUGAUAAUUCUUAAACUACAUUUAUAGGGUUAACUUGCUCUUUGCUACUUUGUGCUUGUACUAAGAUAAUUUGUCAUUUCCAGGCCACAUCAUCUUAAAAGUUUGUCAGCUCUAGAUAAAAAGUAACAUCUCUACUCCUCUUUCUGCUUUCUGAUGAUAGUAAUUUACUGUGCAAGGUUACUAAGAGUCUGUUAAUCAGUCAGCUCUAAUUAAAAUGUAACACUUACAAGUUAAGUCUGUGCUAAGAAAUGUACCCAGAGUGUUUUAAA